GGGGUAAAGUAUAAGGUAUACAGUUUGAUUGCAAAUCAAAUAUACGGAGGUUCAAUUCCCCCUUAUCCCU
rnacentral:tRNA from 1 species